CAAUAGCGUAUAUUUAAGUUGUUGCAGUUAAAAAGCUCGUAGUUGGAUUUCGGGUGGGACGCAGCGGUCUCGCAUUGCGUUUGUACUGCUGCAGCCCUCCUUCUUGCCGGGGGCGGCCUCUCGGACUUCACUGUCUGGGGGUCAGAAUCGGCGAUGUUACUUUGAGUAAAUUAGAGUGUUCAAAGCAAGCUUACGCUCUGAAUAUAAUAGUAUGGGAUAACACGACAGGACUCUGGCCUAUCGUGUUGGUCUAUAGGACCAGAGUAAUGAUUAAGAGGGACAGUCGGGGGCAUUCGUAUUCCGUUGUCAGAGGUGAAAUUCUUGGAUUUACGGAAGACGAACAUCUGCGAAAGCAUUUGCCAAGGAUGUUUUCAUUGA
rnacentral:rRNA from 1 species